CAUGAGCCUUCUGCCGAGGGCCGGGCAGCAGCCUUUGGGAUGAGAGCCGGGGCCCAUGCUCUGCACUGCUGCCAGAAGGGAGAGCCGCAGAACCCUGAGGGCUCUGGGUGCCAGGGCCGGGCUUUGCCUGGCUAUGAACCCCGAGAGAACCCUGCGAUCACCGAAAUCACAGCCUCCCCAAGGAGCACGCAGGGGACCAGCCCUCACCCACCCUCAGGGCGGACCCCUGGUGCUCCCAGGGUGGGGCAGAGUCAGGAUCCUUCCCUUGAGGUCUUUCAUCUACCAGAAGACAACACUGGCAGGCACACUCAGAGGAAGGAAAUCCUGCAUCCUGGCCACUCUCCCCUUUACAUGAGAAACCCACAGCUGGCUCUGCAAACACCCUGAAGGCUCUUUCAAAGCUGCGUCGCUGCUCAGACAGGACAGACCAACAGGUCGCAACUCGGGUCUCCUUGCUUGCUUCCAGAGCUGUGCUGAGCUGAGCCAGCCCCAUGGUGGACCCCUGCCAGCCAGUUUGACCUGCUGCCUGAAGUUCUACAUUUAGGGGCUCAUAACUCUGAGCUCAGACCUCAAUGUUUCGGGGGUUCCCCAGUAAAGGUAAGACACUUCUGGGCAAUUCUGCCCCUUGGUCUCCCCCAACCAGAUGACUGGGAGAGGGAGUGACCACUUCUCUGGCUCUGGGCUGUGCUAUCGCAACGUUUCCAGUGGCCCCUUAGGUGGUGGGUGUCUGUAUAAGGCUGGAAAGGGACAGCCAUUGGCCAACCAUAGGGUCCAGACCCCUUUCCCUGGAACACCAAUAACUUGGGCUUGCGAGUUCUACCUCAGAAACAACCCAAUAGGCUCCCUGGCCGUCCUUGCUCACCAGCUGGUAGAAGGUGAUGUGAGGUCCCUCGGCAUCGUACAGGAACCACCAGGUGGCGGCAGCCACUGUGGCCAGGCCUACAUACACUGCAGGGGGGGCAGGAGGAAACCGGCUAUAGUGGACAGCUGUGCUUUACUGGCAUCCAUUUCCCCUUCCUAAUAAGUCCCUGAAUUUCUGUCUGAAAAUCACCCUCUCCCUCUCUAAGCUGGGUGGUUUCCAUACCUACCCUCAGGGCCAGUGACGGGCCUGACAGGCAAUCGGCAUCUGCCAUACCCUUGGCCAUGGUGAUUGGCCAGGAGAUAAGCAGGUAACCCAAUCUGAGCUGAGAAUAAGCCUGAGACUUUUAUCAUAUUCCUGAGGGAGUAGUAGGAUGAAAGGCUCUCCCUUCUGCUGAAUGUGGAGUUAUAAUGGAGUGAGCACGAGGGCUGGCACUGCAGCAGCCACUCUGCUACCCAAAGGUCAUCUGCCUGAGAAUGCAGUUGAGGCGAGACAAUGAUACUGUCUGAGGUCUGGAUACAGCCAUGUAUGAGGCAUGCACUAAUUUUUUCAGUUAGAUGAGCCCACACCAUUUCUUUUAGCACAAGCCAGGCUGAGUCAUACUGUCUGCAGUUUGUAAGACUAACUAAUAGGAGAGUCUUAGAAGGCUACUAGAACCCUACUGAGGGCUGAGGCCCUUACCUCCAAUAGCCAGAUAUCGGAAGAGGAGCCAGCCACUGAUGAGGGCCUCAUGAGGGUUCCGGGGUGGCUUCUCCAUGAUGUCUAGGUCAGGUGGGUUGAAGCCCAGGGCUGUGGCAGGUAGACCAUCUGUCACCAGGUUCACCCAGAGCAGCUGCACAGGGAUCAGGGCUUCGGGUAGGCCCAGAAUUGCCGUGAGGAAGAUAC